UACAAAAAACUAAAAUAUUAUUUACUUAAUAAAAUCAUCCACUACAUAAUCAUUCUUUAUCUUUACAAUUAACCAUCUAAAACUACCACAGUUCUUCAAUCAAAAUAUAUAUGUACAUAUAUAGAUAGAUUACACUUCAUAAUUUCGUCUCUUGUGUUGCGUAAACAUAGCACGAAAAUUUGAUACCCAAUAUUGAAAGGCUGGUCGUAGAAGCAGUCUUCCUGAACAUAUUUAAAAAUAAUAGCAAAUCAGGAAAAUGAAGCAAAUAGGUCACCAGAGGCACAUAGUGCCAAAAUUAAUACACAAAGACAACAUUGUUGUGUUAUUUUCUUACUAAUCAAGGGACAUGGAAGAAGGUAAUACCUUUUUUAUUGACUACCAAAUUAAUAUCAAAAUCAAAUAUACUGAAGAAGACAAGCAUGUGCUUCGUGAACCUCGUCCUUGUGGGUAUACAUUGACACACGGAUCAAGAUAAUAAUUGGUGCUCAUAAAUAAUGCUACAAGUGAACAAACAUUUUACAGGCUUAUAAUGAUGACAGUACAACUUGAUAAAUAUGUUUGUGCAUGUAGCGAAAGUCAGAAACAUACUUGAUGAUUCUGCUGGGAAUUAAAUUAUCGAUUGUGAUAACUGCUUUUCCUGCUUAAUUGCAUGAUGUUUCUGGAACGAGUAUGAUGUUUGGUGCCUUAGAAGCAUGUCUUGUUGUAAUAUAUUUGGUUGUUGUUGUUGUAAUUGUCGUUGUGAAUCAUGUUGUGGCUCUUUUUCUCAAUUCACUUUCUCUAAAACAUAUAUUGUGAAACUUCACCAAAUUAAACUAUGAAACACAUAUAACAGUAAAAAAAGUGUGAUUUACAAAGUAUAUGCUAGUCAUAUGGGAAUGUUGGAUAAACCAUUCAUCAUUUUCAGAGAACCAUCAUAUAUGAUAGUGAAGCCAUAUGGAAAUCAAUAGACAAGUCUAUCAAUUUAGCUGGUAAAAAUAUGUUCAAUGUUGAGAUAAUAUCAGCUGACAUGUAUAAUUUGACAUCUAGAUAUACUUAUCAAUAUUAUAUAUAUAUAUAUAUAUAUAUGUAAAAUCUAGACAUGGAUAAAAAGUCCUGAUUUACAAAGGAAGUCAAGCACAAGAAAAAAUAGAAAGAAUGAAAAUAAUGUGAUAGAAAGGAAAUUGAUCUUGUGUAAGCAAUGCUCAGUUUUUAAAAGGCGGUCCUUUAAUAAUAAAGCACCCAAACUAACGUAUACUGUUUACUAGCCUAGGAUAUAUUUAAGGUAGGCAAAAAAAAGAAGAUUUUACCUUAAGCUUACAACUGAUGCCUUUGGUAAAACUCUUGUCCCAUGAAUGAACUUUACCUUCAUAUAUGCAGAAACAUGACCUCCAUAAAUAUACUUGCGGUGAAGCUCUGGAUCAAGCUACUUAGAAUUCUUUGAGAAGCCAGCAAACCUCUUCUCACUGUGAGGAAUAUCCAGACCACCAAUGCCCCCUGGAAUUAUUGAUAAAUGAAUUACAGCUAAAUGCAAGUACAGAUAAAAACACAGGUUUUGUACUGUGAAUGUGAUAACCCGAGAAUUUAAAAAAUUUAUUAAAAUCUUAAAUAAUUGAUUUAAGGUCAAAUAAUUGACCUAGACAGAAAAUAAGUGCAUACGUUUGAUAUUUUUAGGAAGGAAUUUUGAGGAUUUCAAAAUUCUGUAAAGAAUUUAGGUUAAUUAUUCAGGAUUAAGAAUUUAAGAUUUAAGUUCUGUGAAUAUGGUUAUGUAUAUGUACAUUAUGAGGUUACGGGUCAAGGGUUGACCAGAUAAAGUAUACAUGUGUCAAACCCUAAUCGAAUAUUAAGAACGUCAACGUUCAGUUAGAAAACCCUAACGUCAGAUAAGAAACCCUAAAAAUCGGUUCUGGAAACCCUAAGUUCAGUUCCGGAAAUUUAAAACCCUAAUUCGGUAUAUUAAAAAUCUAAUUGGGGAUUUAAAUAUAAUGUAUACGAUUUUUGUGUAUUAAUGAUAACCUAAUUGGGGAUGACCCCAAUUGAUUAAUUAGAAAAUUCUGAUAAUUAAAAACCCUAAUUAUCAGGAACACUAAUUUAUAAUUAGGAAAAACCUAAUUGUUAAUUUAAUAACUUUAAUGUUAAUUAGGAAACAUUAAUCCUAAUUUUCAAGUUAUAAGAAAACCCUAAUUUAAUUAGGAAAUCUAAUUUCUAAAUUAAAAAAAUUAUUUUUUUUAACCUAAU
rnacentral:lncRNA from 1 species